GGAGAGAGGACUAGGAUGUAGGCCGGUGAGGAGCGUGACGGCGGGGAGGCCGGAGGAGAUGGAGGUCCGGUGAAGAAAAAGGCAAGAGAUCAGCAGGGAAGGUCGGCCAGCUCGUUGAGCGCUGAGCAGGGGGCAAUCGAGCAGGAGGAUGGCAGCUACGAGAGACCUGUGGGGAAGUAAUUGUUUGGACGGAACCGGCGCGGCAGCCGAGACAACGCAGCAGCGGGCAACCGUGAGAGCAGUCGCUAUAGAGAUUACUAAUGUGUCGUCAUCAAGACGUAUUACCAGUGGUGAACGCAAAGCAUUUUGGUUUCAAUCGUUUAGAUGGCAAACCUGCCUAUGAAAUGUUGGAGUGUGAUCCUGACUGGGCCCCUUCUCUGUACCUCGGCCAUACUGAAGUCAAAGCUACAAACACAGACUGGUUCAAGCGGUUUAGGAGAAGAGCGACGAGGUCACAACAACAGCAACCCCCAUCGCCAGGCACUGACCACACUGGUCCUGAGGCUGAGUUGGAUAAUGCAGCACCUUUAUACCCAGACAACACUACACCUGCAACUGAGAUGGAAGGUCCCGUGAAUCAAAGGCACUGUCCACACCGGUCAUGAGACAGAGUUGAAUGAAGCAGCACAUUUAUUCCCAGACUACUCUGCACCUGUGGCUGAGAUGGAAGGACAAGAGACUCGGCCCUUACCACCAGCCCCAGACAAUGCAGGGAGAGAGGAAGAUAUGGAAACUGAAACAUCAGGGGAUGAUGGUGCUGCAAUGGGGAAUGCAGAUGAACAGCAGAAGUGCACCAUGUGUGGCCUCAGACUCAAAGAAAUAAUCCGCUUGCAGGAGGAAAAUCGAAAACUGAAGGGAGAGCUCUCCAAGAAGGCCCUGGAUGAGAAUUUUCUCAAAGACAAUGAUUCAAAGGUGAAGUACUACACUGGCCUUCCAUCUUUCAGUCUAUUGAUGGGUGUGCUGAUGCAAAUCAUUCCCAGUCUACCAAAAUCAAAAACAAAAGAGAGAACUCUCCCAUUUUCAAAUACUCCUCCUGACCCUUAUGCGCUUAAGACUUGAGCUACCUGUUGAACAUGUUGCACCUCUUUGACAUUAGCCGACAAACCGCAUCCAAUCUGUUCAUUGAGACCAUCAAUGUACUGCAUGCACACCUCAGCCCUUUGGUGUACUGGCCAAAGCAACAUUGUAUACAGGCAAGCAUGCCACAUCAGUAUGUAGAGAUGUUUGGGAAUCGUGUUACUGUUAUUGACUGCUUUGAGCUUUUCAUUGAAAGGGCACAAAAUCUACGUGCAAAAGCACAGACAUAUUCAAACUACAAAAGCAGGCACAGAAUGAAAUAUCUCAUUGGCACAACACCACAAGGUACUAUUUCUUUGUGCCAGUGAUAAGCAGAUCACCGAGAACUGUGGCUUUCUUCAGAAGCUCUCGCCUGGAGACGUAGUGUUAGCGGACCGUGGAUUUGAUAUUAAAGAAAGUGUUGCCCUUGUGGGUGCUACACUGAAAAUACCUGCCUUCACCAGGGGCCACAGCCAACUUAAUGCAAAAGAUGUGGAACAGACCAGGAAGUUAGCUCAUGUCAGGAUCCACGUGGAGCGAGUGAUAGGGUGUACGUGCUCUAAGUUUAACAUAUUAAAUGACACCAUACGCCUGGGAUUUGUGGUGCCUUGUGAGUGGGAUGAUAAGACUUUGCUGGAUAAAAUUGUGGUUGUGUGCUUUGACCGAUAUUUGUCCAAGUAUUGUUGUGAAGCCGUCGUGUUAGAAUUAUACACCAUGCUCACAUCUAAUAUGUAAAUGUUUUUUUGUUUUCUAAAUGAUUUUGUAAUGUCACUUCUCACAUGUAAUGAUUUUUAGCCAUCUCUGUAAAUAAAAUACACAAAGACUGAAUGAAA